UCGGCUCCGGUUCACGCCUCCGCAACCCGCGGCUGCGACCCGGCGCC
rfam:Streptomyces cyaneogriseus subsp. noncyanogenus strain NMWT 1, complete genome.